AGAGAAGUAGUGCCCGUACCGCAAACCGACACAGGUAGAUGAGGAGAGAAUCCUAAGGCCGACGGAAGAAUCACAGUUAAGGAACUAGGCAAAUUGACCCCGUAACUUCGGGAGAAGGGGUGCCUACCAUCUGGUAGGCCGCAGAGAAUAGGCACAAGCAACUGUUUAACAAAAACACAGGUCUCUGCUAAAGCGUAAGCUGAUGUAUAGGGGCUGACGCCUGCCCGGUGCUGGAAGGUUAAGGGGAACACUUAGCGCAAGCGAAGGUGUGAACUUAAGCCCCAGUAAACGGCGGCCGUAACUAUAACGGUCCUAAGGUAGCGAAAUUCCUUGUCAGGUAAGUUCUGACCCGCACGAAUGGCGUAAUGACUUGUGCACUGUCUCAACUGUGAAUCCGGCGAAGUUGUAGUGCGAGUGAAGAUGCUCGCUACCCGCGAUUGGACGGAAAGACCCCGUAGAGCUUUACUGUAGCUUAGCAUUGAAUUUCGGUAUUGUCUGUACAGGAUAGGUGGGAGACUGGGAAAUUAGGGCGUCAGCCUUAAUGGAGUCGUUGUUGGGAUACCACCCUGAUAGUAUUGAAGUUCUAACUGGAUGCCAUGAAACUGGUGACAGGACAUUGUUAGGUGGGCAGUUUGACUGGGGCGGUCGCCUCCUAAAAUGUAACGGAGGCGCCCAAAGGUUCCCUCAGAACGGUCGGAAAUCGUUCGUAGAGUGUAAAGGCAUAAGGGAGCCUGACUGCGAGACCUACAAGUCGAGCAGGGACGAAAGUCGGGCUUAGUGAUCCGGUGGUACCUCGUGGGAGGGCCAUCGCUCAACGGAUAAAAGCUACCUCGGGGAUAACAGGCUGAUCUCCCCCAAGAGUUCACAUCGACGGGGAGGUUUGGCACCUCGAUGUCGGCUCGUCGCAUCCUGGGGCUGAAGUAGGUCCCAAGGGUUGGGCUGUUCGCCCAUUAAAGCGGCACGCGAGCUGGGUUCAGAACGUCGUGAGACAGUUCGGUCCCUAUCCGUCGCGGGCGUAGGAAAUUUGAGAGGAGCUGUCCUUAGUACGAGAGGACCGGGAUGGACUGACCUAUGGUGUACCAGUUGUUUCGCCAGAAGCAUAGCUGGGUAGCUAAGUCGGGAAGGGAUAAACGCUGAAAGCAUCUAAGUGUGAAGCCCACCUCAAGAUGAGAUUUCCCAUAGCAUAAGCUAGUAAGACCCCUUGAAGACUACAAGGUUGAUAGGUCAGAGGUGUAAGUGCGGUAACGUAUUUAGCUGACUGAUACUAAUAGGUCGAGGGCUUGACCAA
rnacentral:rRNA from 1 species